rnacentral:rRNA from 1 species
UACGGGGGGGGCAAGCGUUGUUCGGAAUUACUGGGCGUAAAGGGCUCGUAGGCGGCCAACUAAGUCAUACGUGAAAUCCCUCGGCUUAACCGGGGAACUGCGUGUGAUACUGGAUGGCUUGAGAUUGGGAGAGGGAUGCGGAAUUCCGAGGUGUAGCGGUGAAAUGCGUAGAUAUCUGGAGGACACCGGUGGCGAAGGCGGCAUCCUGGACCAACACUGACGCUGAGGAGCGAAAGCCAGGGGAGCAAGCGGG